GGAUGUGAGAGCAAUCUGGCUGUGACAUCUGUUACCCCACUGAUCUCCAGGGUCGAUUCGGCUGGUCUGGCUGGCUAGGCAGGUGUCCCUUUCUCCCUCACUACUCCAUGUGCAUCUUGCCUACAGCUGUGUGCUUAGUCAAAGAGGACUGCAAGAACCUCUGAACAAGCUCCCAAAAGUCCUGUGAGCAUAAAAGAUCAUUGGGAGACAUUUUCAAUCUAAACUGUAACAGUCUAUCCCUGGCUGCCAAAAGACUCAUCUAUAUCUUUUUGU
rfam:Fukomys damarensis contig135748, whole genome shotgun sequence.